AUGCAUACUAUUGGACUUCGUUUCAUUCAUUCACGCCGAACAUCAACAUUCCCCGCAAACAUUUCUAAGAGACAGACGUUUCUUCGCAAAACCAGUAGCUUUUUCAUAAAAUAACAACGAAAUUAAAUGUAUUUAGGGAGUUUCAAGGUCCGAACAAGGUUAAUGUCGCGUAGACUGUGUUUUAUGUCCGAGUUCUUAUCUCAAAAAUGAAGCGGCAAAUUAAAAUAAUUUAAAACUGAAGUGUUUAUGUGAGCAAUUUAAAAUUGCUAGCUGUUUUUCGUUUUGGCUCCGUUAGCAGAAAAUUUAAAAUAUGGAGAUGAUAUUCGGCGCGUGGGACUGGGCGAUCAUGGUGGCCACCAUGGUCGCCUCCGUCGCCAUCGGACUCUACUUCCGCUUCAGCGGCGGCCGCCAGAAGACCAAUGAGGAAUACCUCCUGGCCGACCGGAACAUGUCCGUGUUCCCGGUGGCCGUCUCCCUGAUGGCCUCCUUCAUGUCUGCCAUCACGCUGCUGGGGGUAUCCGCUGAGAACUACUACUACGGCAUGCAGUUCGUGGCCAUCAACCUGUCGUACGGCAUCGCGACUCCUAUAGCCACCAGGCUCUACCUACCCGUGUUCUUCGGCCUCCAGAAAACCAGCACCUACGAAUACUUGGAGCUGCGUUUCGGCCCAAGAAUACGGCUGCUAGCCUCCUUGACUUACACGCUUCAAAUGGUGCUGUAUAACGGGAUAGUGUUGUACGCGCCAGCGAUAGUUCUGGAGUCAGUGACGGGGUUGGAUCGACUCGUGUCUAUUCUAGUGGUAGGGUUGGCUUGUACCUUCUACUCGACCCUGGGCGGGAUGAAGGCAGUGCUGUUCACAGACCUGCUGCAGUCAUUCCUGAUGUUUGCGGCCGUGUUCAGUGUGGUGAUAUUCGGAGUGAUACAGAUCGGGGGCUUCGGCAAGUUCAUUGAAGCGGCCCGUGAAGGCGGCAGACUGGACUUCUCCAAUAUCAGCAUAGACCCUACGGAGCGGACGACGUGGUGGUCGCUGAACAUUGGGGGGCUCAUCACAUACCUCUCGCUGUAUGCCGUCAAUCACACACAAGUGCAGCGUCUGCUCACAGUGAGCACACUCUCCCGCUCGCAGUGGUGCCUGUGGUGGAGCUGGCCCGUGCUCAGUGUGCUCAGUGUGACCACCUGCCUCAGCGGGCUCGUCAUCUAUGUGGUCUACAAGGACUGUGACCCGUACGCUGCGGGGAAGAUUACUGCUAUAGACCAGCUGAUGCCGUACUACGUGGUGGACGCGAUGCAGGCCUUCCCCGGGCUGGCGGGUCUGUUCGUGGCGGGCAUCUUCAGCGCCUCUCUGUCCACCAUCUCUGCGGCUUGCAACGCGCUCGCCGCCGUCACGCUCACUGACUAUGUUAGUAGAUGGCGCUCAAUCCGGCCGUCCAUAAUCCCGUGGCUCACAAAGCUCGCCGCCUGUGCGUACGGCCUGGUGUUCCUGGCGCUGGCCUUCCUCGCGCAGUACCUCGGCGGGGUGCUGCAGGCCUCGCUCACGAUAUUCGGAGCCGUCGGGGGGCCGCUGCUGGGGGUGUUCACCCUGGGCAUGUUCACUACGUAUGCUAAUGAACGGGGCGUAUCCAUAUCCCUGCUCACGGGCAUGGCUCUGACCUUAUGGAUGAACUUCGGCGGUCCGCGGCCGGCUCCCGUGAAGCUGCCAGUAAGCGUGGAGAGCUGCGCCGCCAACGUCACAUUGCCUGUGGCUGACCACGGGGACUACUUCUACUUGUACCGCGUGUCGUAUUUGUGGACUAGCCCGAUCGGUUUCCUGUGGGUGCUGAUCAUCGGCAGCGUGCUCUCUCUGGCGUGGCGGCAGCAGCAGCCGUGGGAGCGGGACGGCAAGACGCACCCCGACCCCGCCCUCUUCACACCCCCGCUCGCCCGGAUACUCAAGAAGAGGAUAGAGAAAGAGAAGUCCGUGAUGCAGAUGGGAACUCACUAUGUGUACUGAAGGCUCCAGGGCUUGGACCACGCUGUACAAAUGAUAGCUAUACAAUGCAGGUGGGUUUAUUAUAUUUUAUUGUCAGUUACUUACCAGUGAAGACUGUAAUUGAAGAA